GAACAGCUGAGCUGACAUCUCCUCCCUCAGUAUGACAGACAAACUCUCUUUCCUGCUGCUGUCUAUCUGUCUGCCCUGUCUGAGUGGCCAGACUCUGGAGUCCACUCCCUCCAGUCCAGUACUGAAACAGCCAGGAGAAACUCUCAGUCUGUCCUGUAAGGGAGCUGGGUUUACUUUCAGUAGCUAUAACAUGCACUGGAUAAGACAACCAACAGGAAAAGCAUUGGACUGGGUGGGAUAUAUCUGGAAUGAUGCUACAAGAACCUUCAAUGCAAAAAGUGUUGAAGGAAGAGUAGAAAUCACCAGAGAUAAUUCUAACAGCAUGGUGUAUCUGAAGCUGUCUGGCCUACAAGCUGAGGACUCUGCUGUGUACUACUGUGCUAGAGACUCACAGUGAUGUAAGAGAGUGGAGGAGCUGCACAAAAACUCUGAGAAUCCAUUAAGGGGAAGUCGCUACACACACACA